AUCUUGAAAAAUAGUGAAGUUGGAAACAUUUCAUUUCAUCCAUGAAUUCAACAAUCUUCACAUCCACAACCUCACUAUGGCCUCCAUCUUCUUUCUUUCCAUGCAAAACCAUGCAAGACUUGAAGCAACUCCAUGCCCAGAUGAUCAAGACCGCCCAAAUUCGAGACCCACUCGCCGCUGCCGAGCUCCUCCGCUUCUCCGCCCUCUCCGACCACCGUGAUCUCGACUACGCCCGCAAGAUUUUCCGAAGCAUGCACCGACCCAACUGCUUCUCCUACAACACCCUCAUAAGAGCUCUGUCCGAGAGCAACGACCCAUGUGAUGCCUUGCUGGUGUUCAUUGAAAUGGUUGAAGAUUGCAGUGUGGAGCCCAACUGCUUCACAUUUCCUUCUGUUUUUAAGGCUUGUGGUAGAGCUGAGAGGCUCCGAGAGGGGAGGCAGGUUCAUGGGUUGGCGGUGAAAUUUGGACUUGAUAGUGAUGAAUUUGUGGUUAGUAAUGUUGUUAGGAUGUAUUUGAGUUGUGGGGUUAUGGAGGAUGCUCAUAGGUUGUUCUACAAAAGGGUUUUUGUUGAUGGGUGUGAUGGAAUUAAAGAUAAGAAGAGGAGGGUUGAUGGGGAUGUUGUUUUGUGGAAUGUCAUGAUUGAUGGGUAUGUGAGAAUUGGGGAGCUUGAGGUUGCUAGGAAGUUGUUUGAUGAAAUGCCUCAAAGAAGUGUAGUCUCUUGGAAUGUGAUGAUAGCGGGGUAUGCACAAAGUGGGCAUUUCAAAGAGGCGGUGGAGGUGUUUCGCGAGAUGCAGAUGGCUGAGGCGCCCCCGAAUUAUGUGACUUUAGUUAGUGUUCUCCCUGCUGUGUCCCGGCUCGGGGCACUUGAGUUGGGGAAGUGGGUGCAUUUGUAUGCUGUGAGGGACAAUAUUGGGGUUGAUGAUGUGCUUGGGUCUGCGCUAAUUGAUAUGUAUGCUAAGUGUGGGAGCAUUGAGAAGGCACUGCAGGUCUUUGAGGGGUUACCAAAAAGGAAUGUGGUCACAUGGAGUACUAUUAUUGCAGGGCUUGCCAUGCAUGGUCGAGCAAAAGAUGCACGCGAUCACUUUGAGGAUAUGGAACGGGCUGGAGUUAUGCCCAGCGAUGUCACGUAUAUCGGUCUCUUGAGUGCAUGUAGCCAUGCAGGUUUAGUCGAUGAGGGUAGAUGGUUUUUUGACCACAUGGUUAGGGUAUCUGGCUUAGAACCAAGGAUUGAACAUUACGGUUGCAUGGUUGAUCUAUUAGGUCGAGCUGGUCUUUUGGAAGAGUCUGAAGAGCUUAUACUGAACAUGCCAAUUAAACCUGAUGAUGUGAUAUGGAAGGCCUUGCUUGGUGCUUGUAAGAUGCAUGGAAAUGUUGAGAUGGGUAAACGUGUUGCAGAGCAUCUGAUGGAGUUGGCUCCUCAUGACAGUGGCUCCUAUGUGGCCCUGUCAAAUAUAUAUGCCUCUUUGGGAAAUUGGGAAGCGGUUGCUAAAGUGAGGUUGAUGAUGAAGGAGAUGGACGUAAGGAAAGACCCAGGGUGUAGUUGGAUUGAGCUUGAUGGAGUGAUUCAUGAGUUCCUUGUGGAAGAUGAUUCCCAUCCCAAAUCCAAAAAGAUCCAUUCAAUGUUGCAGGAGAUGUCAAGAAAUUUGAUGUUGGUAGGCUAUAGGCCAAACACUACACAAGUCUUGACCAACAUGGAUGAAGAAGACAAAGAAAGCUCCUUAAAGUAUCACAGUGAAAAGAUUGCAAUUGCCUUUGGCUUAAUCAGCACACAGCCACAAACACCACUUCGGAUUACUAAGAACCUUCGCAUAUGUGAAGAUUGUCACUCUUCAAUAAAACUAAUCUCAAAAAUAUAUAAACGGAAGAUCAUUGUAAGGGACCGAAAGCGCUUUCAUCAUUUUGCGAAUGGCUCAUGUUCUUGUAUGGAUUAUUGGUAAGUGCAAGAUGGCAUCCAGAAGAUGCAUGUGCAGAUAUGUUUGAAGAGGCUCCUGAGUUCCACCAAACUAAAGAGGAGUUCAGAGACACACUUAAGUAUGUAUUGCACGUAUACGUCCAAAAGCAGAGCCAUAUGGAUUUAUCUGUAUAGUUCCCCCUCCUUCCUGGCAACCACCAUGCCUUAUUAGGGAAACAAACAUACAGAGGAAUAAAAUUCCUACCCAAACUCAACAGAUUGAUGAGCUGUGCAACCAGACCUCAAAGAGAAAAUUUUCUAAAUUUGAUGAAUGAAUGAAAGGAAAAAGGAAAAGAAGCUUCGUAAUGGGCUUGGAAUUUCAAUUAGACAAUGAGCAUAUCACAACUCCUGAUGAAGCUGGAUGCCAUGAAACUGGAACUUCAUAAUGGGCUUUGAAUUUGAACCUGGUCCAGAGUUCACCCUGGAAAAUUUUUGAGAAGUAUGCAGAUGAUCUCAAGGGACGGUAUUUUCUGCAAGAAGGAUGGGGUUACAGAUUCAGAUGUUGAUUCAACCGUGCUCUAAAAGCAGUGGGAACCAUCACCGGAGAAUGUUGAGGGUGAACAUAAGGCGAAUUGCUGAAAAUUCAACAGGAGAAAUUGAGGUUUUGAACUGGAUUUCCAAAAGUAUCUGAUCAGGGGAAGAUAUCUGAUUAUGCAAGAUAUUUGGAAUCAGGCUACUGGAGCUUGAAUGAUACCCCAAAGCUGCCUGGGUCUCUUCUUUCUUUUGAAAGCUCUGACAAUUUUUGUCUUAGAGCCUCCACUAGGCAUAGGAAUGUUUCACUUCCUGGAAAUAAAUUGAGGAAAACUUGUGCA